UACAGAGGUCCCGAGCGUUGUUCGGAUUCACUGGGCGUAAAGGGCGCGUAGGUGGCCGGGAAAGUUCGAUGUGAAAGCUCAGAGCUCAACUCUGAAAUGGCAUUGAAUACUAUCUGGCUUGAGGGUCGGAGGGGAGACUGGAAUUCUCGGUGUAGCAGUGAAAUGCGUAGAUAUCGAGAGGAACACCAGUGGCGAAGGCGAGUCUCUGGACCACUCCUGACACUGAGGCACGAAAGCUAGGGGGGCAAACAGG
rnacentral:rRNA from 1 species